rnacentral:sRNA from 1 species
GCUGUCGUCAGCUCGUGUCGUGAGAUGUUGGGUUAAGUCCCGCAACGAGCGCAACCCCUGUUCCUAGUUGCCAGCGAGUAAAGUCGGGGACUCUAGGGAGACUGCCGGUGCCAAACCGGAGGAAGGUGGGGACGACGUCAAGUCAUCAUGGUCCUUACGUCUAGGGCUACACACGUGCUACAAUGGCGGGGACAAAGGGCUGCGAGCCGGCAACGGCAAGCCAAUCCCAUAAACCCCGCCUCAGUUCGGAUUGUCGUCUGCAACUCGACGGCAUGAAGCUGGAAUCGCUAGUAAUCGUGGAUCAGCUACGCCACGGUGAAUACGUUCCCGGGCCUUGUACACACCGCCCGUCACGCCAUGGAAGCUGUGAGCGCCCGAAGUCCGUGCAGCAACCCGCAAGGGGGCAAGCGGCCGAAGGCGAGCGCAGUGACUGGGGCGAAGUCGUAACAAGGUAGCCGUAGGGGAACCUGCGGCUGGAUCACCUCCUUAACGGACAUUCGAGUAGGCUGUCAACUGCGAGGGCGAAAGCUCGAGCGAUGGAUAGUUGAAAGAGUCUGUAAGUCGCUCGUCUCGACACAUCCAAAUCCCAAAUUCAAUGUUGCGUAGAUGCCGCGUUCCUGGGUUCGCUCAGGGACGGUGAGCGUCGAUGCUAUUUGACAACGGAAGAACAUGGUAGAUCGCGGAUUUGAGAAUCCUUAUUGAGGACUAUCGAUUUCGUCUUGCAGCAAUGGGUUGCGCUCGCGAAAGCUGGUGCGAGCCGUUGCACAGAGACGUUUGCAGAUUGUCACUCGAAAAGUCAGUAAGAAACUUCGUAAGAAGUAGAUCGUACCGCUCUGCUUGAACCACAGAUUGUUGUAGUCAAGCGAGCGAAGGCAUGUGGGGGAUGCCUGGGCACACGGAGGCGAUGAAGGCCGUGGUAAGCUGCGAUAAGCCAGGGGGAGCGGCACACACGCAUUGAUCCCUGGAUGGCCGAAUGGGGAAACCCG